UAGCCGUAAACGAUACUCGCUAGGUGUCGGCCACGGUGCGACCGUUGUCGGUGCCGUAGGGAAGCCGUGAAGCGAGCCACCUGGGAAGUACGGCCGCAAGGCUGAAACUUAAAGGAAUUGGCGGGGGAGCACCACAACGGGUGGAGCUUGCGGUUUAAUUGGAUUCAACGCCGGAAAUCUUACCGGGACCGACAGCAACAUGAAGGCCACGGCUGAAGACUUUGCCGGAUUAGCUGAGAGGAGGUGCAUGGCGUAGUCGUGU
rnacentral:rRNA from 1 species